AGUUGGAUUCGCUAGUAAUCGCGCAUCAGCCAUGGCGCGGUGAAUACGUUCCCGGGCCUUGUACACACCGCCCGUCAAGCCAUGGGAGCCGGGGGUGCCUGAAGUUCGUGACCGCAAGGAGCGACCUAGGGCAAAACUGGUGACUGGGGCUAAGUCGUAACAAGGUAGC
rnacentral:rRNA from 1 species